UAGAUCCAACAAUCGAAAACG
rnacentral:miRNA from 1 species